rnacentral:rRNA from 1 species
CCUACGGGUGGCAGCAGUGAGGAAUAUUGGUCAAUGGGCGCGAGCCUGAACCAGCCAAGUAGCGUGAAGGAUGACUGCCCUACGGGUUGUAGACUUCUUUUAUAAAGGAAUAAAGUGCGGCACGUGUGCCUUUUUGUAUGUACUUUAUGAAUCAGGAUCGGCUAGCUCCGUGCCAGCAGCCGCGGUAGUCCGGAGGGUGCGAGCGUUAAUCGGAAUUACUGGGCGUAAAGCGCCCGUAGGCGGUAUGUCAAGUCAAGGGUGAAAGCCCCGGGCUCAACGUGGGAACUGCCUUUGAGACUGGCAAACUGGAGUGUGUGAGAGGAUAGGGGAAUUCCAGGUGUAGGAGUGAAAUCCGUAGAUAUCAGGAGGAACAUCAGUGGCGAAGGCGACUAUCUGGCACAUAAUUGACGCUGAGGAGCGAAAGCGUGGGUAGCAAACAGGAUUAGAUACCCGUGUAGUC